rnacentral:rRNA from 1 species
CCUACGGGUGGCAGCAGUGAGGAAUAUUGGUCAAUGGGCGGAAGCCUGAACCAGCCAAGCCGCGUGAAGGAAGAAGGUACAACGGAUCGUAAACCUCUUUUGUCAGGGAACAAAGCCGCGUACUUGUCCCCGGUUGCGUGUACCUGAAGAAAAAGCAUCGGCUAACUCCGUGCCAGCAGCCGCGGUAAUACGGAGGAUGCGAGCGUUAUCCGGUUUUAUUGGGUUUAAGGGGUGCGCAGGCGGCCUGUUAAGUCUGCGGUAAAAGCCCGGGGCUCAACCCCGGCGAGCCGUGGAAACUGGCGGGCUGGAGUUGGAGAGAAGUACGCGGAAUGCGCGGUGUAGCGGUGAAAUGCUUAGAUAUGGCGCAGAACCCCGAUUGCGAAGGCAGCGUACUGGCUCCAAACUGACGCUGAGGCACGAAAGCGUGGGUAUCGAACAGGAUUAGAUACCCCUGUAGUC